AGAGUGUUGCUGGUCACGCCUACUAUUUUUUCUUUCUUAUUGUAUUUUCAUUAACUUAAAAUAAUUUUUUUGGUCUUUCUAGGGCUGCACCCACAGCAUAUGAAGGUUCCCAGGCUAGGGGUCCAAUUGGAGCCAUAGCUGCUGGCCUACACCACAGCCACAGCAAUGCAUGAUCCAAGCCGUGUCUGCGACCUGCACCACAUCUCACAGUGAUGCCAGAUCCUUAACCCACUGAGCAAGUUCAGGUAUUGAACCUGCGUGCUCAUGGAUGGUAGUCAGAUUUGUUUCCACUGAGCCAUGGCGGGAACUCCUUAAAAUAAUUUUUAAGCAACUGUUGUUAAAUUAGGGUAUAAGGUCUUCCAACUUAAGUAUAAAUAUGUCUUCCAACAUAAAUGCUUCUGUUUGCUUUCUUUCAAGCCAACGGUUGCCCUUCACCUGCCUCUGGCAUUUUAAGGGGCACGAGACUUGAUGCCGUCUCCUCCUUGCCGUCAGGACCAUCUCCAGCCUUAUCCCCAGUCUUUGUCCAAGCCAGUUCCUGGGGAUCAGCUUCCAGGUCAGGACCUCCAGAGGCUUCCUUCCCUUCUCUUCAUCUUGAACUCUGGGGCUUCUUCACACACGUCACACUUGUUCCAGAGCAUAAGAUGUUUUCUUGGUCUCCAAGACUAGGAUGAAAGUGAGAGGAGAAUACUGGAAGGAGAGAACCUGUUCCCUGUGGGUAGCUGUGUAAGGGUUUAUCUACAAAGAACAGGAAGCUUCUCUCUAAACUAUUGCUUAGGGGAAAAAAAUUUAUGGUCAAUUACGUGCUUGAGCGCAGAGUUUUUGUCCCUAAGAUGUGAGUCAGUGAGUGCCCCGAGCCACACUCUGAGUGACCCUUCUGGGAGUGUUUAACUGCCCUGCCACCUCUCUGGUGUUUUGUCUUUCAUAAUCAACUCCAGAGAGAAGAAAAAUAUGCAGUGAGGCCAGAGGUUGCUCAAGGUCAUCAGGAAAAGAAGGCUGCCUUUUAUUUCUAGAAUUCCAUUCAAAGGAACGGAAGUGAGGAAGGAGAGAGAGGGUCAGGCCUGGAGUUGGGGGAAGGACGAGGUAACAGUGGAGAGGUGAGAGUGACGUUGGCUGGUAGAGGAGGGGGCGGGGGGAGACAGGAAAGGGAGCAGAGGUGGUUGGGGGCUGGCUGACCCCUACCUUUUGUAGCUCUUAUCCAUAACCAUUUAGAAGGUAUGAAUCAAACUAACAGAUGGUUAAUAAGAUGGUGGUAGCCUUCCGUUUUUGCAGGGAUACCCUCUUGAUGAUGGUGGAGGCAGAUGUGAAUGUAGAACUAUCAGCUUCUGCAGAGAUACUUGCUAGAAUAUUGUGGCCCUCCUGCCAGGCCUGGGUCUCCAGGUGCUUUCCAUGCUGAUCCUGCUGCAUCACAUAUGAGGGGUUGCAGGUGCACACACAGAGAUGCCCCGCCUCAUGAUCAUGCUCUGGUCCUAUCUCCAACCCCCAUCCCUGACAAACAGGAGCUUCUAGGCCACCCGUUGGGCCUCAGAGUGUAUACACUGGCCAUAUGGUUCUUCCUUGCAGGUUUGUACCCAGGGAAAAGGCCAUCAAGCCCCUCAAAGUGGAUCUGGAUGCUGUCUACAAGAAGCAGGGUUUCAUAAUGGUUCCAACUUGGCCCAUGCCCUUGGAUUCAUGGCCUCUCUGCUUUUGGGCAGGAAAUAGGGUUGGAGAAGGGCCAGAGUGAGGCCCUUGAAAGUGUAGAGGUCCCUCUUGCCCAGGUCCAAGCCUAAUACUAAGUAACAGAACUGUUCUGUCUUCCCACAAAGAACAUCUUUAAAAGUACAGGUAAAUAGCCAAGCUCAGGCCUUGGAGGUUGAAAGGUGCCAGGUCCACACUUGUUAGGGAAGUUUCAGAGUCCCUUGCCUUUGGCUGGACUCUGCUGGGCUGGACCACAGGCAUCCUUGCAGUCACCAGUACAGCCUGAAGACCAGAGGCCUUUCUCUCCAUUUUCUAGGGACCAGGAAAGAUUCCAGCUGACCUAGGACCCUGAAGCAGGACAGAGAGAAUUUCUCAAUCUCUCGGGUUCAUGCGGAGCUCGGAGUCAUAUUUAAUUUGAUUUAGAAAAAUAAAAUCACGUGGCAUGCCCUGUACUCCAUCCUAGUGUGAUGUAUACAAUGAUAAUAACAAACACAUAAAG
rnacentral:lncRNA from 1 species